rnacentral:rRNA from 1 species
CACAGUCAAGGGAACGGGCUUGACUGUGGGUUCGCUAAAAUAGUAAAUAGGGGACAGUGGGAAUCUCAUUGAUCCAUUCACUGCGCGUCACUAAUUACUAUUUAGCGAACCCACAGUCAAGGGAACGGGCUUGAAAUAAUCAGCGGGGAAAGAAGACCCUGUUGAGCUUGACUCUAGUCCGACUUUUGUGAAAUGACUAACGAAGUUUAGCCUUAGGUGGGAGCCAACGCGCCAAUGAAAAACCACUAUUUGUUACGUCAUUUUACUUACUCCGUAAAGAAGUGAUCGGUUUACCGAUUCUAGAACUAAGGGUAGUUUACUGCCUGAGCUUUGCGGAAGACACGGUCAGGUGGGGAGUUUGGCUGGGGCGGCACAUCUGUUAAACAAUAACGCAGGUGUCCUAAGGUGAGCUCAAAGAGAACAGAAAUCUCUUGUAGACCAAAAGGGGAAAAGCUCACUUGAUUUUGAUAUCCAGUACAUAUACAAACCGUGAAAGCGUGGCCUAUCGAUCCUUUAACUUUACAAGUAUUAAGCUAGAGGUGUCAGAA